rnacentral:rRNA from 1 species
UACGGAGGGGGCCAGCGUUGUUCGGAAUCAUUGGGCGUAAGGGCGUGUUAGCGGCCACGCCAGUUGGAUGUGAAAUCCCUCGGCUCAACCGAGGAACUGCAUCCGAAACUGCGAGGCUCGAGUCCUGGAGAGGGUAGUGGAAUUCCCAGUGUAGCGGUGAAAUGCGUAGAUACUGGGAGGAACACCGGUGGCGAAGGCGGCUACCUGGACAGGUACUGACGCUGAGGCGCGAAAGCCAGGGGAGCAAACGGG